GAAAUGAGAAUUUGAGUGUCUGGACCAUUCAAUUUCCCGCAACCCCAGAUCACUUUUUACCCUGCUGAUUGACAUAGCUGAGAUGUCCUCACCAUUGGAGAAGCAAUUAACAAAAUCCCUGACUGGAGUGUAUGAAGCAUCUGUUAUGGAAGUAUAAAAGGAAAAAGUCUGGAAAAAACAUUCUCUGAAAAAAAAGAUCUGUCCUAGGGCAAAAUGCCUUCAGAAAUGUGCCCUGGCCACUGGUGCUGUAAGACAUUGAGGAUGACAGUUACACUGCUACGUCCUGUCGCUUGUACCUUCAGUUCACUGCCAAAGGUGUUUCAUGCUGUGGUAUGGAAGGCCCCAUUUUUCCAGCCAGUUUUCUUGAAGACACUGAUGGAUUUUCAACUUUAAUAUCUUGAGGUGUGGUGAAAGAUAGAUGUCUGAAUUGCUGUUCCUGCUCAGCCUUCACAAAUUUGAUUAAGAUUAAAAAGUUUUAUUCGUACAGAAGAGCUCAGAAUCUCCUAGAAAGGAGCAAGGGUUCUUCUUGUACUUCACAAAACUUCAUUGCUCUGUCUGAAGAGGAAAAAGAAUCAGUUUUACCAAAUGUUUUCUGAAAAGGCUUGUCAAUAUGGUAGUGAGAAGAAGAUGGGAUUUUAAAAAAGAUCAUAACCUUUGAAAAGAAAAUUUGCAUUAAGACUGAAGUUUUGCUAAAACUUGAAGAGAUUCUAUAGCAGGAUUUUUAUGAUUUUCUGUGACAGUUUUAGUAA
rnacentral:lncRNA from 1 species